GAUGAACGCUGGCGGCGUGCCUAAUACAUGCAAGUCGAGCGAACGGACGAGAAGCUUGCUUCUCUGAUGUUAGCGGCGGACGGGUGAGUAACACGUGGAUAACCUACCUAUAAGACGGGGAUAACUUCGGGAAACCGGAGCUAAUACCGGAUAAUAUUUUGAACCGCAUGGUUCAAAAGUGAAAGACGGUCUUGCUGUCACUUAUAGAUGGAUCCGCGCUGCAUUAGCUAGUUGGUAAGGUAACGGCUUACCAAGGCAACGAUGCAUAGCCGACCUGAGAGGGUGAUCGGCCACACUGGAACUGAGACACGGUCCAGACUCCUACGGGAGGCAGCAGUAGGGAAUCUUCCGCAAUGGGCGAAAGCCUGACGGAGCCACGCCGCGUGAGUGAUGAAGGUCUUCGGAUCGUAAAACUCUGUUAUUAGGGAAGAACAUAUGUGUAAGUAACUGUGCACAUCUUGACGGUACCUAAUCAGAAAGCCACGGCUAACUACGUG
rnacentral:rRNA from 1 species